rnacentral:rRNA from 1 species
GACGAAGGGGGCUAGCGUUGUUCGGAAUUACUGGGCGUAAAGGGCGCGUAGGCGGCCUGCUAAGUCGAACGUGAAAUCCCUGGGCUCAACCCAGGAACUGCGUCCGAUACUGGUUGGCUUGAAUCCGGGAGAGGGAUGUGGAAUUCCAGGUGUAGCGGUGAAAUGCGUAGAUAUCUGGAGGAACACCGGUGGCGAAGGCGACAUUCUGGACCGGUAUUGACGCUGAGGCGCGAAAGCCAGGGGAGCAAACGGG